rnacentral:tmRNA from 1 species
GGGGACGACCUGGCUUCGACAGGAGUAGUUUGACUAGGAUGGCAUACCGCUUUGGGCAAAGCGUAAAAAGCCUAAAUAAAAUUAAACGCAAACAACGCGAAAUUUGCUCCUGCUUACGCUAAAGUUGCGUGAGUUCAGUUGAGCCUAGAGCUUAGGUCAUACUACCUAGCUUAAGUUUUAGUCAUCUUUGGUAGUGUAGUUUUAAGGCUUGACGCACCUUAAAGCGAAGUUUAGUCUAGUCAAAUUUGUAAGUUUUGGAAGAUGAGCGGAAUUUGAUGAAAAAGUCAUCUUUGCUAAGUAUGUAGAGGUCUUUUUUUUGGGCUAUUUUUGGACAGGGGUUCAAUUCCCCUCGUCUCCACCA